AGCUCAGUCAGUAGAGCAUGAGACUCUUAAUCUCAAGGUUGUGGGUUCAACCCUUGUCCAC
rnacentral:tRNA from 1 species